rnacentral:rRNA from 1 species
CUCUUUAGCUUGGCAUUUGAAUCGGCUUUGCUGUUGCGAAGUAGAGUGGCGGCUUCGGCUGCCGAGGGUCGAUCCAUUUGGGAAAUGUUGUUGUACUUCGGUAUGCAUCUCAUUGACUUGAUAUCAGGCAAGAUUACCCGCUGAACUUAAGCAUA